GGCGGGCGGGGCGGGGGCACGGGGGGAACGCGAAGAACCUUACCUACUCUUGACAUCCAGAGAACUUAGCAGAGAUGCUUUGGUGCCUUCGGGAACUCUGAGACAGGUGCUGCAUGGCUGUCGUCAGCUCGUGUUGUGAAAUGUUGGGUUAAGUCCCGCAACGAGCGCAACCCUUAUCCUUUGUUGCCAGCGAUUCGGUCGGGAACUCAAAGGAGACUGCCAGUGAUAAACUGGAGGAAGGUGGGGAUGACGUCAAGUCAUCAUGGCCCUUACGAGUAGGGCUACACACGUGCUACAAUGGCAUAUACAAAGAGAAGCGACCUCGCGAGAGCAAGCGGACCUCAUAAAGUAUGUCGUAGUCCGGAUUGGAGUCUGCAACUCGACUCCAUGAAGUCGGAAUCGCUAGUAAUCGUAGAUCAGAAUGCUACGGUGAAUACGUUCCCGGGUCUUGUACACACCGA
rnacentral:rRNA from 1 species